rnacentral:rRNA from 1 species
GACGAACGCUGGCGGCGUGCUUAACACAUGCAAGUCGAACGGAAAGGCCCUGCUUUUGUGGGGUACUCGAGUGGCGAACGGGUGAGUAACACGUGAGUAACCUGCCCUUGACUUUGGGAUAACUUCAGGAAACUGGGGCUAAUACCGGAUAGGAGCUCCUGCUGCAUGGUGGGGGUUGGAAAGUUUCGGCGGUUGGGGAUGGACUCGCGGCUUAUCAGCUUGUUGGUGGGGUAGUGGCUUACCAAGGCUUUGACGGGUAGCCGGCCGGAGAGGGUGACCGGCCACAUUGGGACUGAGAUACGGCCCAGACUCCUACGGGAGGCAGCAGUGGGGAAUAUUGCACAAUGGGCGGAAGCCUGAUGCAGCAACGCCGCGUGCGGGAUGACGGCCUUCGGGUUGUAAACCGCUUUCGCCUGUGACGAAGCGUGAGUGACGGUAAUGGGUAAAGAAGCACCGGCUAACUACGUG